UAAUGAAUGAAUGAAAACCAUUUUGGGUAUUUGUGUUUUUAUGUCUCAACAACAAACGUUCUCUUUCGUUAUAGAGAUAAAAUAAAACAAUUCCAGAAACAAUAUUUGCUCAAAUUAAAAUUUUACCAAAUUAACCAUGAAAAAAAACCGGAAAACUUGGUCAAAUUACAAAAAUUUUAAUUAUAAUCCAUGAUGAUUUGGAUUAUGUUGUUUUUAAUUUAAUUUUCUAUCAAAAAUCAUAAUAUCAACAAUUAUAACGGUCAAUGAUGUGGUGUGAUCGCAAUGGAUUGUUAUAUUCAUAGAUUAUUUAAUGUAAUCGAGGUAAGAAAAUAAAUAAAUUCAAAUAUAAAACAUCACUUCUCAUAUCACAACAUUUUUUUUCAAAUUUGAUUCGUUCCCACGAUUUCCACAAAAUAUGAGAAACGAUCAUCAUCACCACCAUACACACAUAAACGUUUGGGGAUUUUGGACCACACGACGAUUGCGGUUAUAUAACAUAUGAAUAAUAAUCAAUGAACGGUUCACAACCAUCAACAACAACAACAACAACAAAGUCA